GGCCUGCGGUGUGACCACACAUUGAAUUGCAAAUUCAAAGAAGCAGCUUCAACUCUGCCGGGGCUU
rnacentral:tRNA from 1 species